rnacentral:snRNA from 1 species
UCUAAUAAAAUUUAAAUCUGAUAUGUCCUUUAUUUAAGGACUGUAUAUUAAAUUAAUUUUUGAAACAGGGGGUUAGAACAGCAGCUUGCACUGUCUGCCCUAUGUAUCGGCCUGGUAUUGCAGUGUCUCCAGGAACGGUGC